UACGUAGGGUGCAAAGCGUUUGUCCCGGAAUUAUUGGGCGUAAAGAGCUCGUAGGCGGUUUGUUGCGUCGGCUGUGAAAUCCCGAGGCUCAACCUCGGGUCUGCAGUCGAUACGAGCAAACUAGAGUGUUGCAGGGGGAGACUGGAAUUCCUGGUGUAGCGGUGAAAUGCGCAGAUAUCAGGAGGAACACCGGUGGCGAAGGCGGGUCUCUGGGCAACAACUGACGCUGGAGGAGCGAAAGCGUGGGGAGCGAACAGG
rnacentral:rRNA from 1 species